CAUGUAAAGUUUCAUUGCACGUUAGCAGACUACAGUUGAUAAUCAGUGGAUGACGUCAAAACAUGGCGGAUAAACAGUUUUCUAAAAUAGUGACAUAGUGAGCCUGUGAACCGUUUGCAGAAUGACUGUAAAUUUCAGUUGUAAAUGUAUAAUGUAUAAUUAUUGUUAUUUAUUUAACUAUAUAUGGCAUUAUUUAUCUGCUUGAGAUAGUUUAGUAACAAGUGUAGUCUUGUAUGUUUAUACUUUUUACACAUAGUUUGCUCAGAUGAGAUAAAAAAAAAUAGCUUUUCUGUUAAAUGCUUGCCAAAUUCUUCCUACGAAGAAAGUCUUGCAGGUGUAUGUAUAUAUAAAGAAUAGGAUUUUGCAUGGGGGUAAAGUGCUGUUUGCGCAUAUUGUGACUUAUUCUGGAAGUUCGGUGAAUCGUUGACUGCAGUAUGUGACGCUCGAGUGUAGUAAAUAACUUAUAUGUUUCAUUUUUUUUUUGUGUAUGUCGGAAAUUAAAUUUUUACGACGCAAUUUUACAGUCCAAAACUUGGAACUUGACCCGUACAAGAAAUAUAGGUAAAGGAGAGGCCCAGUCAGAGCGGAGGACAACAACUUCCGGUUUUCUGCCAGAAAAUCCGCCAUGUUUCAAAGUUUAAAAAAUAACAUUAGAAACAAUUUCGUCCGUUUAUGGAAUGAAACUCCUGGUGACCUCGGAAGAAAACUGACACAAACUUUCAGCCAGGAAAAUAUUUCGAACACUUGAAUAAUGAGAUACUCUUUCUUCCAGUUCAACGAAGAUGUGUGACGUGUGUGAUUCUAUAUAGUUUAGACUCCAAAUUGAUAUAUUUUAUGCAAACAUAUUUGAUCAUAGAAUGAAUGAUAAGACAGGUCAAUUUCAAUGCGAGAUAACUUGUUACAUAGAGUCGUUGUUUACUUUGUCAACAUCUCCGACUGUUGACAAAAUAAGUGACAGUUCAUUGUGUGAAUGAUGUUAGUUGCUAACAUACCGUAUUGUUUGAUUGGUGUUUUUUUUUCUAUCUCCGCAUACCCACAUUGUCUUUUCCUUAAACAACAAACUAUCUAUAUAGUUCUGAAUGUCGACACAGUGUUUCAAACUUUAAAAAUUUCAACGAGGAAUUUAAAAUCAACUUCAAGUUUGUUGUUUUGAGAGAAACCCUGUUGGAAUCAAUGUAGUCUGGUCUACAAAAUUCAAAAACUGUUAUAAUUUGUGGCAUUUAUUUAUGUAUACUAACAGCAAAUAUUUACUUUUACAAUUAUCGUAGAAACAUUCCAGAACUAUUAGUCAAAGUUUAAUUUUUACUGUGAAACGGAAGGCAGUUUGACACGUAGAAUUCGAUCAGGUAAAAGGAGUAAAUGUUUUAUCCUUCUCAUCGCUAAUUUGUUGUAUGAACCACUGAAGUCCCUGUUUGAUCCAACCCCCAUUACCUCAAGCAUUGCCAUGCGUGGCCCUUUUCAUCAUUGAACACGUGAUCGUCACAUGAUCACAAUGAUUGAUGAAGAGUGAGCCUCUAAGAGUCGGACAUGUUUGGUAGUUUACUAUUGUUGUUUGACUGAUGUAAGUGACUCCUUGAAAUGGCAGCAUUUCCCAAGGACUGCCAGUUUCCCGUAGAAAUAAAUUUACUAUUUUGUUUGU
rnacentral:sRNA from 1 species